rnacentral:rRNA from 1 species
GAUGAACGCUAGCGGCAGGCCUAAUACAUGCAAGUCGAACGAGAUUAAGAGGCUUGCUUCUUAUGAAAGUGGCGCACGGGUGCGUAACGCGUAUGCAACCUACCUUAAUCAGGGGGAUAGCCCGAAUAAAUUCGGAUUAAGACCGCAUAAAAACACAGGAUAGCAUUAUCCAAUGUUCAAAUAUUUAUAGGAUUAAGAUGGGCAUGCGUGUCAUUAGCUAGUUGGCGGGGUAACGGCCCACCAAGGCGACGAUGACUAGGGGAUCUGAGAGGAUGACCCCCCACACUGGUACUGAGACACGGACCAGACUCCUACGGGAGGCAGCAAUAAGGAAUAUUGGUCAAUGGAGGGAACUCUGAACCAGCCAUGCCGCGUGCAGGAAGACAGCCCUCUGGGUCGUAAACUGCUUUUAUUCGGGAAUAAACCUUUCUACGUGUAGGAAGCUGAAUGUACCGAAGGAAUAAGGAUCGGCUAACUCCGUG